rnacentral:rRNA from 1 species
ACGCUCGACACCUACGGAGGCAGCAGUGGGGAAUAUUGCACAAUGGGGGAAACCCUGAUGCAGCAACGCCGCGUGAAGGAAGACGGUUUUCGGAUUGUAAACUUCUGUUCUUAGUGAAGAUAGUGACGGUAGCUAAGGAGCAAGCCACGGCUAACUACGUGCAGCAGCCGCGGUAAUCUGAGCGGGCUGGCAAGGC